rnacentral:lncRNA from 1 species
AAAAGUGAUGUUGUUUUACGUUUAUUUUGUGGGCUUUGAAGAAUGAUAAGUGUAUGUCUUAUAUAAAAAAAAAUACUUUUGUGGUUUUUGCUCGUGAGAAACCAAGAAAAAAGAAAUUUUGGUUUCUAAGUAAAAAAAGGUAAAAUGAAUCAGAAACUAGUUUCCCUAGAAAAUAGGAAAACUACUUUGUCAAAAUCAUGAUUGGUUAAGAAAUAGAUUCUAGAAAAUCAAAAACCAAAAACUACUUUAAAAACUAUAAACAAUCAACCUAUAUAUAUUCAUGAGGACGAGGAGUGAGGAGUGAAGAGGAAAAAAAAAAGGAAAUUGCAUCCAGUAAACACAAAAAAAAAACAAAAUCCACUAACUAACUAAAAACACCUUCUCUCUCCUACUUUUUCUUCCUAUCUCUCUCUACUCUCUCUCUCUCUAAAAAUCUAAUUUCACUUUUUUUUGGCUAU